UACGUAGGGUGCGAGCGUUGUCCGGAAUUACUGGGCGUAAAGAGCUCGUAGGUGGUUUGUCGCGUUGUUCGUGAAAACCGGGGGCUUAACCCUCGGCGUGCGGGCGAUACGGGCAGACUUGAGUACUGCAGGGGAGACUGGAAUUCCUGGUGUAGCGGCGGAAUGCGCAGAUAUCAGGAGGAACACCGGUGGCGAAGGCGGGUCUCUGGGCCGAUAUUGACGCUGAGGCGCGAAAGCCAGGGGAGCAAACGGG
rnacentral:rRNA from 1 species